UAGGGAAUCUUCCACAAUGGACGCAAGUCUGAUGGAGCAACGCCGCGUGAGUGAAGAAGGUCUUCGGAUCGUAAAGCUCUGUUGUUGGUGAAGAAGGAUAGAGGCAGUAACUGGUCUUUAUUUGACGGUAACCAACCAGAAAGUCACGGCUAACUACGUGCCAGCAGCCGCGGUAAUACGUAGGUGGCAAGCGUUGUCCGGAUUUAUUGGGCGUAAAGCGAGCGCAGGCGGAAUGAUAAGUCUGAUGUGAAAGCCCACGGCUCAACCGUGGAACUGCAUCGGAAACUGUCAUUCUUGAGUGCAGAAGAGGAGAGUGGAACUCCAUGUGUAGCGGUGGAAUGCGUAGAUAUAUGGAAGAACACCAGUGGCGAAGGCGGCUCUCUGGUCUGCAACUGACGCUGAGGCUCGAAAGCAUGGGUAGCGAACAGGAUUAGAUACCCCGGUAGUCCAUGCCGUAAAACGAUGAGCGC
rnacentral:rRNA from 1 species